rnacentral:SRP_RNA from 1 species
GGAGGUUGGCGGCGGGCGAAUCCCGUGCCAACCCGGUCAGGUCCGAAAGGAAGCAGCCGUAACACGUUUCGAUCCGGGUCGCCGUUCAAUCUCCCAC